AUAGAACAAAACAAAAAAGAGGUGGGGAAAAAAGAAAUUUAAAAAACAGGGGAAAAAACAAAACCAAAUCGGGGAAAGAAGGUUGGAGUCGGUUUGUUCUGCUGCUUCCCGAGCUUCCCCCGCCCCCAGGUGACAUUCAGCAUUCAAAGCGGGUGUCUGCUCGUUCCACUCCUGUUUUCCUGCCUGCCCGGGAACUUUUCCAUCUCUGACCCACCGGGUCCCUCCUCCUCCUCCUCUUCCUCACAGCCUCGCCCCGGGGAAUGUGAACCCCCGGCCCUCCCGGGAGCCCAGAGGGAUCCCAGCGCUGGAAACGCGAGGUCAUCGCUCGUGUCCUCUCUGCCAAGGUCAUUAAGAGCGAUGCAGAUGAGCUUAAUUAGCGCCGGAGGACGGAGAGAGGGCGAAGGGAGAGGGACAAAAGCAGUGCUGGUGUUUGGGAGGGAAAUCCUUUCCCAUCCCACUCCGAGCUGCCAUAAAAUCCGAUUAGUCCGAGCAGGGCUGUUUAUUUUUAUUUAUCUCCCCAAAUAAAUUUUCAGGAGCGUACUAAACAUCGUUUAUGUCGCGAGGAAUGAGGUUAAUAAAUUAAAUGAUAAUUCCUGCUCGGGCAGCAGCGGGACCUGGCUUGGGCCCAUCCACAAUUCCCGGAAAUUCCCGGAAAUUCCCAGAAAUUCCUGGAAAUUCCUGGAAAUUCCCGGCUCCACUGGGGCCGCAGGACAAAGGAGCACAAAGCCACGGCAAAAAGCAGCAGCAGCGCAUCGAGCCACGCUUCCCACCCUGCCAGAAUCCAGGGAAAAAGGAGCAAGCACCAGCCCAGAUCCCGCUCUGCCCUCCCUGAGCAGCAUCCCCGGGGCAGCUCCGGCAGCUCUGGGGUUCUGCUCCCACGAAUGAUUCAUUUAUUUGAUUUAUUUCCUUUCCAGGUGAAUUUUCACCGAUAAAUUCAGCCCAGGCCGGAUAAUUAACAAAGCAGAGCCGGCUGGAUUUGCAUCCAGACAUCCAGAAAAUCCCUUUUUCCUGCCCUGUGCCUCCGUUCCUUCCAGUCCGAGGUGCUGGGAUGAGACACAACCAGCAGCAGAACCUGCUCAGGAAUAAUUCCCUGGAACGGCCUAAAAAUUCAUUUUUUAACAUCCCAGCACGCAGAGAGCGCUUGGAGAGGGAUGAGGAUUUCUCCGGGCAGGUCCUCCAUGGGAACAGAAGAGCUGGGAAUUCUUGGAAUCCUUGGAAUUUGCUGGGAUGCAAAGCUCUCACAAAGGAUCCGCUCCUCUUCCCUCCCGCGCUGUUUAAAGGAAAUCGAGGUCGGGCUCACAGGCUGAAUUCCUGAAUUUCUGAAUUCCUGAAUUCCUGAAUUCCUGAAUUCCACGCCUUCUCCUCCGGCUCUCCAAAAUCCCCUGGAUUUCACCGGGAAGCGGCACCAGCGCCGUGCCGGGAGCUGGCAGCGCGUCCUGGGCCGCAUUCCCGUCCCGGGCUCAGGGAAUUCUCGCUCCACCAUCCCGGAAUAAAGGACAUUUGAAAUCCAAAGGAAGGGAAUUGCUGUUCCUAUAGCGGAGAUGGGGCAGAGCCCGCCCCAGUCCAGGAUCAAAUUCCUUGAUUUAAGAACCACCCCGGGGUCUUUUCCAAGUGGAUUUGGAGCGUGGGUGGGCAGGGGCAGCUCCAGAGAGGGGUCAGAGCUCCAGGGGACAGCGGGGCCUCUCCCUGGAUAUUCCCUCCAAGGAAAAUCCCAUCCCUCGUUUUGGAGAGCCCCUGGGCUCGUGGCAUUGCUGGAUUUGCAAUAAUUUGGGAUUUAUCAGAGCCAGGCGGAUUCCAAGGGAUUCAUGGGAUGAACAGGGGGAGAUGUCAGAGCUCGGCAGCUCCUUCCCCUUCCCGCAUCUCUCCAGGAUUUGGAAGUUUUGCUGCUCCAGGGUCGAAAUUCCAAGGGCUGGAACCCGAAUUUCCUCUUGUUUGGGAAUGGGACAGACCCAGGAUGAUCCUCACGGUCCCAAAUAUCCCAUCCCCAUCAGGAGCCGGGCUCCCAAAAAUCCCAUCCACCGACGCCCCCGUGCCAGCAGGAGCAGGUCAGACACCCCCUCGGUGGGACACAGAAAUCCAUCGGGGAAACUUCGGGAAAAAAAUGGAAAAUGGGCUGGGAUCAGCCCGGUUCUGGUGCCUUUGCUCCAACCCCGGCAGCUGGGAAUGAAAGGAGCAGGCUUGGAAUUGUCAGCCGGGAAUUCCUGACCUCUCCUCGCCAUAGUAACAACCACCAGGAAAACAACAACAACAACCACGGCAAAACCUCUCCGGUUCCCUGCCUCUCCCUGAAAAAAAAAACGGCAAAAAAAGAAAAAAAAAAGGGAAAACCGCUGGAAUUGGAAGAGAUUUCAUGGUGCCGAGCAGAGGAAAAGCAGCAGCUCCUUUGGUACCCCGAGCAUCCCGGGCCUGAGUGGGCUGAAAAAUCAGCAGAGCAAGGUGAGGUUUGCUGAUGUCACAGGAUUUCUCGGGAAUACUCACAGCUCCGGAGCCGCCGCGCCAGGUGGAGCAUGGCUGGAAAAGCUCCGGAUCUUCCCAAACCCUCCAGCAUCCCUUUCCUCCCACUCCCCGCCGGGCUGCGAGCGGCG